rnacentral:lncRNA from 1 species
AAAAACUGAGGCUCAGGGGAAGUUGCAUGGCUUGCCCAUCAGGGAUCGGUAGCUUCCAGAAAGCUUUAUAAUCCCCACUGACUGGCCCAGCUCUGUGCCUCAGCUAGAAUGUAGCAGAACCCUGCCUCAUCGGGAAGCCCAAGGAGUGAGCAGAGCCCUGCUAUUCCAGUAUUUCCUCCUGAGGCUACAGUUCCAGCACUCCAGGAGGAAGGAUGAUGUCUGGAGAGGCACAAAGGCGUUUUCUGUUCUGGGUAAUUUUAUGUUCAGGUAACAAGUCACUGUCAACCCCAGUUGCCCGCCAUGCUGAAGACCUCUGGGCCUCGGUCCUACUUUCUAUCUGCACUUGGACCUUCGUGGUCAGUACUCAAUUCUACAGGCACAGGAAACACAUCCACACCUCUCACCCUCUGCCUCCCGACUGCGAAGUCUGCACUUAACGAAUAUCUCUCUUAUCCAUGCAGGAGAGAUGGGGGAGUUCCCACGAAUCCCUGCCCAAUGUCAUCCAGAGUGUUAGAGGACACUCAACCCUGGUGAUUCAGCAGCUCACUAUGUAGACCAGGCUGGCUUUGAAUUCACAGAGAUCCACCUGCCUCUGCCUCCCAGAGUGCUGGGAUUUAAGGCAUGCACCACACCUGGCAUGCUUUGUUUUUAAGUCAUACCUUCAGUUUAACAUGGCUGGAGGCCUGCGUUCCACCCAACAGGUGCUCCUGUGGUGUGCUGGAACUUCUCCCAGCCCCCUCCCCCUGUAGAGGUCAAUCAAAUGCCCUUCAGUUUAUUUGAGUGUGUGUGGUGUGUGUGUUUAUGGUCACCAUGCAAGUGGAUCUGGUUGGAAAGAUUGCUUGCUUGGCUUCCUCGAGGUGUCCUUCCUCCAAGUUGUAAAACUAUUCACACAUAAUCUACUUAAGCACACAUUCAAGGCUGAGAUUGGUGGUAGCCUAAGGAAGAGAAAUUGCUUGAUGUGUUUAUUGUCACUGUCUGCAAAGGAUCGGUGACUCCUGGUCAUGGGACACAGAGCACUGACUGCGGAUCUCUAUGACUGGAAUUCCACAAGGCACAGAGUUUUGAUCUGUG